CCUUUGUACACACCGCCCGUCGCUACUACCGAUUGAAUGGCUUAGUGAGAUCUCCGGAUUGGCGUUGGGGAGCCGGCAACGGCACCCCUUGGCUGAGAAGUUGAUCAAACUUGGUCAUUUAGAGG
rnacentral:rRNA from 1 species